rnacentral:rRNA from 1 species
UAAGUACGGGAGGGUGCGAGCGUUAAUCGGAAUUACUGGGCGUAAAGCGCAUGCAGGCGGCCUGUUAAGUCAGAUGUGAAAGCCCGGGGCUUAACCUCGGAAUUGCAUUUGAAACUGGCAGGCUAGAGUCUUGUAGAGGGGGGUAGGAAUUUCAGGUGUAGCGGUGAAAUGCGUGGAGAUCUGAAGGAAUACCAGUGGCGAAGGCGGCCCCCUGGACAAAGACUGACGCUCAGAUGCGAAAGCGUGGGGAGCAAACAGGAUUAGAUACCCUGGUAG